rnacentral:rRNA from 1 species
AUGGGGGUGCAAAUUCCAGAUGAUAAUUUUGCUGCUAUAGAUAUUCUUCGUGAACUUGAACUUUCUAGAAAUCUUUUGCAUGAUAAAAAUAAUGAUGUGAAUCCCCAUAAGAUAACUAUCAAUGAUGGGAUGGGUAAUGAUGUACCUCUCUCUUUAACUUGGGAUGAGGACAAUAAGGAUAAUGAGGAACCUUUUAUCCUUGUUCAGUCUAGACAAAAGAAAAAGAAAAAUUACCGCAAAAGAUCAGUAGUGACUAUAUCCCCUAAUAAAUCUGUUAGGCCUAUGACAAGAAGUCAAAUGAAAAAAGGAGAGGGUAGGGCUGCUAUGGACCCUGGCAGACCUACCAGGUUUAGGGAUAAACCCGAACGAUAUAAAUGA